UACGGAGGGGGCUAGCGUUGUUCGGAUUCAUUGGGCGUAAAGGGUGCGUAGGCGGCGCGGUAAGUCGGGUGUGAAAUCUUGGAGCUUAACUCCGAAACUGCAUUCGAUACUGCCGUGCUUGAGGACUGGAGAGGAGACUGGAAUUUACGGUGUAGCGGUGAAAUGCGUAGAUAUCGUAAGGAAGACCAGUGGCGAAGGCGGGUCUCUGGACAGUUCCUGACGCUGAAGCACGAAGGCCAGGGGAGCAAACGGG
rnacentral:rRNA from 1 species